GUUCCUUCUCUGGAAGCUGAGGCUUCCAUCGAGUCUUAACUAGUAGACAGUGGUAGAGCCUUCCUCAGAGGCUGCAAGGUGGGAGGCCAGGGAAGAUUGUCUGAUCCCAAUCAUUUUCUCUGAUGUACAUAUUGUUGGGUGGAUUAGGUGUUACUAUCAGCCAGAACCAACAGGACAACAUAGAAAGUAGGGGUGGGGACGUGAGAAAUAGCAGCCAGCUGAGAACUAGAGGUUGCUUGGUCACUCAGAGUUCUGCCCCAGGCCAGGGGGUGGAGCUUCCUUUUCUGUUUGUUUCUUCAUCACUGACAGGGCAUUUCUAGCAGAGUUCCUGGACAAGUUUAUUCAAGGGCUGAGAAAGUAGGAUUACCCCACUCCCAUGUACUGAUGAAGCUGGAGUGUGACAUUUCUUCCAGUUCGCCCAAGGACGGGAAGGGUCACCGUAGCUACCAGAAUAUUCUUGGAGGAAGUGGACCGACUCUCAGAUCCUUAUAUCAUAUGCUGUGGCAACAUGCCACAGAGGAGAGGGCAGCAGUAAGGAUCUGUUUUUCAUUUAAUGGUCUUUCUCAAAGAACUUCUGAGAAAUCGGAUAACUCCUUUCUCCAGAGAGACGCAAAGAGGAUGCGAAGCAAAGGAGAGGCAGAGGUUGAGCGUCAAGCCUUGCUCCAAAGCCAGAUGUUCUGUCUCCGAUCCCUCAUGGCUUCUUGGUUAAUGGACCUCAGUUUCUUGUAG
rnacentral:lncRNA from 1 species